rnacentral:rRNA from 1 species
ACCACGUCUAAGGACGGCAGCAGGCACGCAAAUUACCCAAUCCCAGCACAUGGGGGAGGUAGUGACGAUAGAUACUGAUGCGGGUCGUUCUUCGGAACACUCGCAAUUGGAAUGGCUAUUUUCUAAACACCCUAUCGAGAACCUACUGGAGGGCAAGCCUGGUGCCAGCAGCCGCGGUAAUUCCAGCUCCAGUGGCGUAUGCCAAUGUUGCUGCGGUUAAAAGGCUCGCAGUUGAAUGUCGGUUAAUAUACGCGUAGAGGUGCCGGGACGUUGCGAGCUUUGUUGCCUCGUGCAUCAUUGUGAGCCGUCUCUCCAAGUGCAUCUCUCGCGGGCUAACGAUUAGAUUGACGGCACAGAGUGUUGCUCUUUCACGCAAGUGUUUGGGCUUCGCUCACACGUGUCGUCGGUUGACACCUUGAGUAAAUCAGAGUGCUUAAAGCAGUCGUUGAAACACUACGGCUGCGACUUACCCUCUCGCGAGGCUAAAGUCGUAUGUCUAUGGUGACGUCGCAAGACGUUUGGACAUUGUCUUUGCUUUGCAUGGUACGUCGGAAGACGCCGUGUGAGUUGGUUGCGCUUACGGUAAGACAUNCCUUCUGUGUGUGCGCGUGCACCAACAAGCACGGAAUGAAUUGACAGGGAUGGCUCGAAGGCAUUGGUAUUGCGGGGCGAGAGGUGAAAUUCUAUGACCCCCGCAAGACUUCCCGAAGCGAAAGCGUCUGCCUAGGACGUCUUCAUUAAUCAUGAACGAAAGUUGAAGGAUCGAAGGCGAUCAGAUACCGCCCUAGUUGCAACCGUAAACGAUAUCAACCAUCAAUCCGUCAAAGCGUUCCCUUGAGUCUUCGGAGGCGGGCUUCGCGGCCCUCUUCGGGGACAAAGUGUAAGCGCUUGAUGGGCAGCUCUUCUAUCACGGGAAACCAGAGUGUUUCGGUUCCGGGGGGAGUCUGGUUGCAAAGCUGAAACUUAAAGGAAUUGACGGA